UUCAUGAAUGGCGAAUUAGAAGAUUCCUCAGCUAAUUUCAUGAUCAGAAGUAGACCCCGGAACAGUGGUGAAGCUCCUGUUGGGUAGGAAGUUGUGGAUCAUAUGUUGUUACUUGGUUACAAGUGUUUUGGCAAAGCUUUUGUUUUACUUCUAGAUUUCAGAUAUAUGGUUCAUGGACAUCCAUCUAAGUUUUUUUUCUUUUUUUCUUUUGUAUAUCGCAGAUCCAGCAUUGGCAGCGAAAAACCAUGCUUUACAUUUGGGAAUUUGUUUUCUUGCAGUCCCAUCAAUACUUCUCAAUUUCAAUGUUGAUUAUAAUGCAAAACUUCAUGUUCUUUCUGAUGGUGAAUUUUCCUUGCUGAACAUAUCCUUGCAAUCGGUUGAACGCAGAGAUAUCGCCUUAAAUGAUACAUACUGUGGACUUUUCAUGUUUCUUUUUUCAUUGGAUAAUUUUUAAACAUGUUGGUAACUAUCUUGAUAGUGUGGUAAAACAUAACAAGGAGACCGGACGGACCACAUCCAACAACUUGUCAUCUGGACCUGAUGGUAACAAACUCUUUUUCUUUUUUCAUUUACUAAUAUUUCUUGUUUCUGUAUUUGCUCUUUACUAACUACUUUCUCCGCAGUUGUAGACACUUCUAACAACUUUCAAGGCACUGAUGGAUCCUUAGGCACAGUCUUUUGUAAUUGAUGGCGAGCAAUGCAAAGACGAAGCACAACCAGAACUCUGUAAGCGUAGUUGAGUCAUGCCUCCUUCGAGUUUGUGUGUUUCUAUUGAUUCUAUCUUGUUCGAUUUCUUAUGUAAUGUCGAUCACUUUCUCUUAAUACUGCCUGGUUCGUUGAUGUUUGAAUCCCAUUUCACAAUGUGAUUUCAAGCUUCUGGAAUAUAUUAGAGGACCCGAUGAAUUAUACCUUGGCCUUCUUUACAAUGUUAUUGAUCGCUAAUUCCUCCAUGUAUAUGGUGUGCUUUCAUUUGUGCAAGAAGAAUUCUGGAGCUGCAGGGCAAAGACGCUUCAAGGGUGAGGCAUGUGGUACUGAAUAUUGCACAAUCUCGGUGUAUUGACAUGUAAUUGAGGAUAUUGUUGCACUCAUCCAAGAUUCAGACAUGGUUAUUCCUUAGGCUGUGUGCAAAUGAUGCAAUUGUUAAAUUGAGGGGAACCCUGUGAUCAAAUUAAAGCUAAGCGACAUCCUAGCGGCAGAAUUUUGAGGAGCUCUUGCAGUGUGAGUGCACACACUGCACUUCCAUUGGGGUCGUCCUUCAGAAAUAUUGUUCGAGGCAGCUGUUCCUAUAUACCCUUUUUGGAGAACAUGUUUUCAUACUGAUAGUUCACUGUAAUAGCAUUUAUAUAUAUCAAGAAUCAAGAUGCAUGUAAGCUAUUGUGA